CAAUAGCGUAUAUUAAAGUUGUUGCGGUUAAAAAGCUCGUAGUUGGAUUUCUGCUGAGAACGACCGGUCCGCCCUUUGGGUGUGUAUCUGGCUCUUUCUUGGCAUCUUCUUGGUGAACGUUGCUGCACUUGACUGUGUGGAGCGCUACCCAGGACUUUUACUUUGAGGAAAUUAGAGUGUUUCAAGCAGGCAUACGCCUUGAAUACAUUAGCAUGGAAUAAUAAGAUAGGACCUCGGUUCUAUUUUGUUGGUUUCUAGAGCUGAGGUAAUGAUUAAUAGGGAUAGUUGGGGGCAUUCGUAUUUAACCGUCAGAGGUGAAAUUCUUGGAUUUGUUAAAGACGGACUACUGCGAAAGCAUUUGCCAAGGAUGUUUNCAUUG
rnacentral:rRNA from 1 species